UCUCUGUGGGCCUACCCAGCUCAUCGCCUUACCCCGUGAUCCUCAUCCACACGUUCUCACCUAAACUCCUCAUCAACAGUACCAGCACACCACUUUCUCUACAUCUCAUUUUCCUUCAAGUUUCGGUCAUGCUGGCCGCACGCAGAGGCGGAGCAAAGAAGAGCUCGAACGUAGGCCUCGUUGGUAAUUUGAGGCUGCAGCAGGAGCGCUCCAAACCGGCUCAUGCCGACGGCGCUCAUAGACAGGGCAGGCUGCGGGCAGACCCGACGAGGUAAAGCAGCAGAAAGAAACGACCGGCGCCUCAUGGUGACGGCGGUUCAGAGUUGAGACCACGGCUAUCGGCCAAGCCGGCAACAGCAGUGAAGGCAGGGCAUCGCAGCACAAUGGAAACAGCGCAGGCGACCCACAGGAGCGGCAGCAGGCAAAGGUUGCGCCAGGCAGUCCCUCGGCGGCGCUAGGCCGGCGGAUGAUGCGAGGGCGACACGGCAGUUCCGCUGAAGGUGGCAUGAGUCCGGUUCGAGGCUGCAUCAGCGGCGGUUUGAAAACAGAGCCACGGUGGUGGAGGCACGAGGCACCGGGCGGCCCAGUGGAAGGACGAGACGGCAGCGGUUUCGGAGCCGGAAACGACUCACAGCGGAGGAGAGGUUCGCGGCGGGUCAUGGCGACUCACGGUAAUAGUUGGGCAGGCCGGGUCACGGCGGCCGCGAGUCGACCGGGCCACUCGAAGUGAAGGGCGGAGGUCGAAACAGUGCUUGAGGUGCGCUGUGCUCGACGGCAGCGGGGCCGUGGAGGCAGAGCUAAACCGGCGGGCCAUCCGGUGGCGGUUCAAGAACUGCCGGUUUGGAGGCGGAGUCGCGCGGCGGGAAGGCGGAAUCGAGACUAGGCCGGGCUUGGCUCGGUGUUGGCCCUGAGCGAGGGACGGCCUGCGGCGGCAGGGUGGCUCGUGCCGCUGCUGGAAACGGGCGCGUACGACGGCGGCUCAACGCGGCAACUCAGGGUCGCGUGCGCAAGCUUACACGAAGGCGGCUGGGGGCAGCCACAGCGAAGCCGAAACGGCUUGGGUGCCGCGGCAACUACAGCGACUCGGAACGGAGUAGCCACAGAACAAAGGCAGACAUCGUGGGGACGGCGGCUCUCCGUGGCAACUCGGCAACGCGAGGGCGGUCUUGAAGCGGGUCGGCUUGGCAAGGCUGCGGCCGGAGCUAACCACGGCGGAGGAGGCGGCCGGCAGCUCGGGGCCGAGUAAUGAGAGGCGUAGCGCAGGGGGCUCAAGACGGUCCCCAGUAAGUAGAGGCGGAGCCGGUUUGAGGCGCGGCUGCGGCCAUGCAGUGGCGGUUCGAAGGUGACGCCGGCGAGGUGAAACGGCGUGACGAGGCUGCGGAGGCCUGACGGCUGUGAACCGGUGGAGGCGACAGCGUUUGAAGCCGCGGCCGGGCGAGGCAAUCUGUCGUAGCCUCGGGAACCAGACGAAGCGCGGGUGGCUCGCAGCGGAGAAGAAGCCGGCCCGGCAUGGUUUGAUGCUUGUCCGGUGUUAAGAGCGUGACGAGGCUGCAGAGCCUGUCCAGCGCAGCCGCCACUCGAAGUGGAUGCAAGCGGGGGCAUCUUGCGGGAUGCAGAGCGGAGAGAACCAACUCCAACGGCGGCUCGGAAUAAGCCAUGAAGGCAACUUGGAGUGGAGGAUGGCUCGGAACGGCACGGUGGCUCCCGCGCGGCGGAGACCAGGCGGCGAUCUGUUCAUGGAGUCGUCGGAGCCCCAAUCCGUCUCCGGGUUGUGACACCUUCUUUUUUUUUCUUUUUUUCAUUUUUUUGACUUGACUUUGUAUUAUUUUUGGGAGUACCUAGAACUCAUCUAGAUGAGAUAUAAUUUGGUCUCAUUCACUUAAAAAAUAAGAAUAUAUAACAUCUAGACGAGUUCUAGCAAAACUGAUUAUUUUUCU